AUAAUCAUUUAGAUGCUUACUCCAAAAGGGAUAAUGGAAUAUAUUGGCUUGAGAGGAAAAAAAGGAGGGGGAUAAGGAUAUUUAAUGGAUAUUUGUAUGCCGGAAAAAGAUUCUUGAAAUAUGAUUUUAUUUAAUAUGACAUCUUGUUGAGAGGUUAAAAGAAAAUCUGUGGUACAAUGAACAAGGCAUAUUCAAUAUCCAUUAAAAUUCUAAAAUUGUGAUUAUUAUACAAUAAUUUUUCUUCAGAAAUAGAGUAAACUGCCAAUAAAUUCCAUUAAAUAAGAGAAAACAUUGAUGAACAAGAUAGAAAGAACGAGCGAAACAAUACAAUUUAAAAAAUAUUAUCUUAUCUUCGCAAAAAUUGACGAAAGCAAAGCUCGACAAAAAUUGGAGAAAUGAAAAAGAAAAAAAAAUUACUUAAUUACCUUUCAAUUGCAAAAUUUGAAUAUUGAAUCGCGUUUUAAAUAAUAAUUUCCAUAAAACGAGCGCGUUUUGUAAUUUAAAUGGAACGACCACCCGCCAUUGGAUUAUAAAUCGAUCGGAUAAUAAAUGGCGCCGAAGAAUAAAUCUGUUAAAACAGUGGGGAGAGGCUACGUGUUGUACACGUCACAUUGCUAAACGAAUGGAUACGGCUGUGAGGUUGCCGCAGAGAGACCGCAGGUUCGUUUGCAUAGUCGGAAUCCCGUGGACAAAGUAGUAAAGUCCAAAGUGUAUUCCCGGUUAAGGAAGCACGGCAGAUGGAGAACAAGGCGCCAUUGUUCCGUUGAUAUGCUCGAUGAUGCACGGCAAAACGACAAAUCUAGAUUCUACUAAAUUUACCACACUAACUGAUAUUAUAUUGGGCCGUGUGCACAGAGGAGGGCAUCUUUUUAUCACUCGUUCGAAAAUUGAUUAAUUUUUUGAAUUGCUAGUUUUGCUAGAUUUAUCUCGAAAGAUUUACUUAUUCUCUUCCUGAAAUUGGUGAAAUGAUGAUAUUAUACGAUUUUUUUUAUUAUUAUUUUAUCCGUCAUUUAUUCGUAGAAAAUGCAGAACUCAUUACCACUGACGAUGUAAUGGUUACUGGAGCAAUUUCGACAAAAAAGGAAAGGCAAACAGGAUUUUAAUGGAAAGAAAACAAGAAAAUAAAAUAAGAACGCAAAGGAAGAUGUUAAUUAUUUUAAACAAUCGCGUGUAAGAAAGUAAGUGGACAACGAGUCGAGUAAUAUUACCUACUUCGACUCCUCGUUUCUUCUUAAUUCAAUUACAGCCCGGAGAAUAAGUACGCCCCGCGCAUACAGAGAAAAAGAAAUCUAUAUAAAGGCACACAAAGGGUGAAACGGGUACGCGCGGCACUGUCUAAUGGCCGCGGUUCGUCGCCCUUCGCCUCGUUCAAUCCCCUGUCUGUCGUCUGGAAGAACUGUGACGACGAGGGGUUGCGCCUCGUCGCGAACCGGAGAGGGUGAAACGGCACGGAUACCAGCCGAAACGUUCGUCCACCCACCCAUCCACCCUCCACCGCGCUUUUACUACCAGACGAGCGGAGGGGGUUGGCCAGACUCGUGACGUCGCGACUCGGGCUGACGUCAUCACCGCUUCGACGUCACAACCCACUCCAACUGCUGGUGGCAAUCCGUGACGUCACCAACGUUCGAUCCGCAGCGAAUUUUUGUAGCAAACGGCGCGCGCCGUUUUCAAUGUGAAAUGGAAUGGUGAAGUGGAUAAUGGAUUUCCAUGGAUGUGGAGAUAAUUGUUUCUUUGGGCACGAUUUCUUGUAAUACGUGUCUGAAUGACGAAGGAAAGGGAUUAGGUCGUUCGUUAGGGCUGAAUAGGGCUCUUUUUUGAUAUAGAAGAUGUUUUUUUUUUGGUUAAAUUAUCUUUUAAAAUGUUUGAUUUUUACUUGUUUAUAGAGAGAUUUUGUUGGAUGAAUUUUGUUUUUUUUUUUCAAUAUUUUUUUCAGUGUUCUUUUAAACAAAGAAUUGUUCGAUCGAAAAGUUUUUAAUAUUUGGUUGGUUUUCGGGACUGUUUUUACACAUCAAUUAGCUUCUCUAAUCUGAAAGAAGUAUUUAUAAAUCUCCGAUACAAGGUAACUCGACGCGAUCUAGCGAUUUAUUCGGUCUAGCUAAGGUUUCGUUUACGGCACAGAUUAAAUUAAUUUCUUCUGGUAAAAAACUUUCCAACGAAAACUUACUUUUGCAUAGAAUUCUAGUA